GAUGAACGCUGGCGGCGUGCCUAAUACAUGCAAGUCGAGCGAACAGACGAGGAGCUUGCUCCUCUGACGUUAGCGGCGGACGGGUGAGUAACACGUGGAUAACCUACCUAUAAGACUGGGAUAACUUCGGGAAACCGGAGCUAAUACCGGAUAAUAUAUUGAACCGCAUGGUUCAAUAGUGAAAGACGGUUUUGCUGUCACUUAUAGAUGGAUCCGCGCCGCAUUAGCUAGUUGGUAAGGUAACGGCUUACCAAGGCAACGAUGCGUAGCCGACCUGAGAGGGUGAUCGGCCGCACUGGAACUGAGACACGGUCCAGACUCCUACGGGAGGCAGCAGUAGCGAAUCUUCCGCAAUGGGCGAAAGCCUGACGGAGCAACGCCGCGUGAGUGAUGAAGGUCUUCGGAUCGUAAAACUCUGUUAUUAGGGAAGAACAAAUGUGUAAGUAACUAUGCACGUCUUGACGGUACCUAAUCAGAAAGCCACGGCUAACUACGUG
rnacentral:rRNA from 1 species